rnacentral:rRNA from 1 species
AUUAGAUACCCCACUAUGCUUAGCCCUUAACAUAGACAGUAAACACACAAUACUGUCCGCCAGAGAACUACAAGUGAAAAACUAGAAACUCUAAGGACUUGGCGGUGCCCCACACCGACCUAGAGGAGCCUGUCCUAUAAUCGAUAAUCCACGCUAUACCUCACCACCCCUUGCAACUCAACCUAUAUACCGCCGUCGUCAGCCUACCUUAUGAGAGAAGCAAAGUAGGCGAGAUAGUUAACAACUAAAACGUCAGGUCAAGGUGUAGUUUAUGGGCUGGAAGAGAUGGGCUACACUUUCUACUACAGAAUAUACGAACAGCACAAUGAAAUACGUGCUUGAAGGCGGAUUUAGCAGUAAGACAAACAAGAAAAUCUAUCUGAAACCCGCUCUGGGGCGCGCWCAY